CCCGCCGGCGACCGGCGCACGGGUGAGUAACACGUAUGCAACCUGGCCGCCACAGGGGGAUAACCCGCGGAAACGCGGCCUAAUACCCCGUGACGCCACCGGAGGGCAUCCUCCGGUGGCCAAAGGAGCGAUCCGGUGGCGGAUGGGCAUGCGGCGCAUUAGCUAGUCGGCGGGGUAACGGCCCACCGAGGCGACGAUGCGUAGGGGUUCUGAGAGGAAGGUCCCCCACACUGGUACUGAGACACGGACCAGACUCCUACGGGAGGCAGCAG
rnacentral:rRNA from 1 species